rnacentral:ncRNA from 2 species
GAAUCCGGUGCGAAUCCGGAGCGGUCCCGCCACUGUGAGCUGCCUGAGGUAGCGAGCCAGGGCA